GCAGGGGCAUCGGUCUUCCUGCAGCCUGACACCCAAGAUCCUAGAUUGACGAGGCCAACCCUUCAUCUCAUGGGUCAGAAAAUGAGGCCAACAGAGCCAAGGUUUCAGGUAUACAGCACAUUGAUUCAACAAUUCUACACAUUAUCCAAAUUCACCAUGAUCACUCACUCUUGAGGAGAGCCCACAGCCAUGUUGUGAGGAUACUCAGACAGCCCCCCAGAGAGGUACACGUGAUGAGGAACUGAAGCUUCUUGCCAAGAACCAUAUGAGUGAGCCAUCUUGGAAGCACUCAAGGCAUCACAUGCAGACUGCAGCCCCCGCCAGCAUCCUAACCACAUCCUCAUGAGAGACCCUGUACCCGAACUGCCAGCUAAGCUGCUCCCAAAUUCCUGACCCAC